rnacentral:rRNA from 1 species
UACGAAGGGGGCUAGCGUUGCUCGGAAUCAUUGGGCGUAAAGCGCACGUAGGCGGCUUAGCAAGUCGGAUGUGAAAUCCCUCGGCUCAACCAAGGAAGUGCAUCCGAAACUGCUGAGCUUGAGUACGAAAGAGGAUCGCGGAAUUCCCGGUGUAGAGGUGAAAUUCGUAGAUAUCGGGAGGAACACCAGUGGCGAAGGCGGCGAUCUGGGUCGAUACUGACGCUGAGGUGCGAAAGCGUGGGGAGCAAACAGG